rnacentral:misc_RNA from 1 species
GAAAUGCGAUACGUAAUGCGAAUUGCACAACCGCGAGUCAUCAAAUCUUUGAACGCAAAUGGCGAUAGCGCGAGCUAUCAUGUUUGUUUCAGUGUAUUCGGUUACUUACAUCAUAUAUUCAAAUGCGAUUGAAGUGAUUCUCUCGUUGAAUACGUAGCAGUUUGGUCCACAAACCAUUAAGCGAAGUAGUCACUAAAUUAAGUGAUGUCGCAUUAAGCGGUAUGUGAACCUUUAAGAACUGUUAACCAAAACAUAUAUCCUUUAUAUGAUACCUGAAAUGAGCAAGAUUACCCGCUGAACUUAA